CAAUAUCGUUGAAAUUCGAUAUCUCACAUUCUCCACCCCUUAAAAGGAGUUUCGUCCUCGAAACAACUCAACCCUUAACUCGAACAAAACUCUUACCUCAAUCCUCAAACAAGUGAGGAUGAUUCGCUUUCAUCUGGUCCUCGAGUUCCCAAGUGGCUUCGCGAUCGUCGUGAUUGCUCCACAGGACUUUAACAUAGAAAAUUUCUCGAUUCCUUAGCUUACGCACCUCUCAAGCCAAAAUCUCUACCGGAAACUCUUCAUAAUCCAUUUUUUCCAAAUUU
rnacentral:lncRNA from 1 species